AAAAAAAAAUACUCUGGUUUAUGCCAUAAUUUCAACCAAAUGCCCAGGCCGCUCAAUUGAAUGGGGCAAGACGAUCUCAUCGAGGUCUACACCAUCGUCGUCUAUACAUACUGCUAACAGCAAAUACAUAUUCCAUACAUAAAGGACAGAUGAAAUGAUUUAUGAGUUUUUGUUUGGGUCUUGCAGAUCAUGAUAAUUACCAUGAGUAUUGCCGUCUCCUUGGUCGCUUCCGAGUGAAUUACAAGGUACUAUUAUAAGGUCUUUGAUAUCAUGUUUCCCUUUUUUGGCUAUGCUAGUGCAAUACGUCUUGUUAUGGCUUAUGUGUGUAUAUGAUACUUCUGUGUGUAAACAUGCAAUGGCUGCACAUUUUACAUGCCUUUUGAAGCCACAUCC